CUACGGGGGGCUCCAGUGAGGAAUAUUGCACAAUGGGGGGAACCCUGAUGCAGCAACGCCGCGUGGAGGAUGACGCAUUUCGGUGUGUAAACUCCUUUUAUAUGUCAAGAAAAUGACGGUAGCAUAUGAAUAAGCACCGGCUAACUCCGUGCCAGCAGCCGCGGUAACACGGAGGGUGCAAGCGUUACUCGGAAUCACUGGGCGUAAAGGACGCGUAGGCGGGGUGGAAAGUCAGGUGUGAAAUCCUACAGCUUAACUGUAGAACUGCACUUGAAACUUCUAAUCUAGAGUAUGGGAGGGGGAGAUAGAAUUAGUGGUGUAGGGGUAAAAUCCGUAGAUAUCACUAGGAAUACCUAAAGCGAAGGCGAUCUCCUGGAACAUUACUGACGCUAAGGCGUGAAAGCGUGGGGAGCAAACAGGAUUAGAUACCCUCGUAGUC
rnacentral:rRNA from 1 species